GACGAACGCUGGCGGCGUGCCUAAUACAUGCAAGUAGAACGCUGAAGGGAGAGCUUGCUCUUCUGGAUGAGUUGCGAACGGGUGAGUAACGCGUAGGUAACCUGCCUGGUAGCGGGGGAUAACUAUUGGAAACGAUAGCUAAUACCGCAUAACAUUGACUAUUGCAUGAUAGUCAAUUAAAAGGUGCAAAUGCACCACUACCAGAUGGACCUGCGUUGUAUUAGCUAGUUGGUGGGGUAACGGCUCACCAAGGCGACGAUACAUAGCCGACCUGAGAGGGUGAUCGGCCACACUGGGACUGAGACACGGCCCAGACUCCUACGGGAGGCAGCAGUAGGGAAUCUUCGGCAAUGGACGGAAGUCUGACCGAGCAACGCCGCGUGAGUGAAGAAGGUUUUCGGAUCGUAAAGCUCUGUUGUAAGAGAAGAACGAGUGUGAGAGGGAAAGUUCAC
rnacentral:rRNA from 1 species